rnacentral:lncRNA from 10 species
GCAUAUCGAGCCAAUUGAUAAAAUGGGGAAUUAAUGCCACAGCCAGUUAUUCAAGCACUAGAACAAGAAGACGUGGAAGGGCAAGUGGGCCCCACUCCCAGCUGGGGGCUGCAGAUCUCUCUUAGGUAAGCAGUACAACCUGAGAAAAGAGGACAACCCUCUGGGAUCUUUGGCACCGUGACGCUGCCAUAUUCCAGGAGAGGACAGGUGAGGGUUCGCUGUGGCUGAAUCGGAAGGAGACAGAAGAAGCAGGGACGAGCCACCGGGCAGGCCUCAGGACAGGCUUAGGUUCUGAACUUGAUCCCAUGGACUGGUGUUACCCAGAGUGAAGAAAACUGUCUUUCCUCCUUUAAUACCUAUAUAUUUUAUUUUAGCACGUAUUGGGGAAAAAAUAAUAGUUG